rnacentral:rRNA from 1 species
CCUACGGGUGGCAGCAGUGGGGAAUAUUGGACAAUGGGCGAAAGCCUGAUCCAGCCAUGCUGCGUGUGUGAAGAAGGCCUUCGGGUUGUAAAGCACUUUCAGUGGGGAAGAAAGCCUUGGGGCUAAUACCCUCGAGGAAGGACAUCACCCACAGAAGAAGCACCGGCUAACUCCGUGCCAGCAGCCGCGGUAAUACGGAGGGUGCGAGCGUUAAUCGGAAUUACUGGGCGUAAAGCGCGCGUAGGCGGUCUGAUAAGCCGGUUGUGAAAGCCCCGGGCUCAACCUGGGAACGGCAUCCGGAACUGUCAGGCUAGAGUGCAGGAGAGGAAGGUAGAAUUCCCGGUGUAGCGGUGAAAUGCGUAGAGAUCGGGAGGAAUACCAGUGGCGAAGGCGGCCUUCUGGACUGACACUGACGCUGAGGUGCGAAAGCGUGGGUAGCAAACAGGAUUAGAUACCCCGGUAGUC